UGCAAGUCGAGCGAACAGAUGAGAAGCUUGCUUCUCUGAUGUUAGCGGCGGACGGGUGAGUAACACGUGGGUAACCUACCUAUAAGACUGGGAUAACUCCGGGAAACCGGGGCUAAUACCGGAUAAUAUUUUGAACCGCAUGGUUCAAUAGUGAAAGACGGUUUCGGCUGUCACUUAUAGAUGGACCCGCGCCGUAUUAGCUAGUUGGUAAGGUAACGGCUUACCAAGGCGACGAUACGUAGCCGACCUGAGAGGGUGAUCGGCCACACUGGAACUGAGACACGGUCCAGACUCCUACGGGAGGCAGCAGUAGGGAAUCUUCCGCAAUGGGCGAAAGCCUGACGGAGCAACGCCGCGUGAGUGAUGAAAGGUCUUCGGGAUCGUAAAACUCUGUUGUUAGGGAAGAACAAAUUUGUUAGUAACUGAACAAGUCUUGACGGUACCUAACCAGAAAGCCACGGCUAACUACGUGCCAGCAGCCGCGGUAAUACGUAGGUGGCAAGCGUUAUCCGGAAUUAUUGGGCGUAAAGCGCGCGUAGGCGGUUUCUUAAGUCUGAUGUGAAAGCCCACGGCUCAACCGUGGAGGGUCAUUGGAAACUGGGAAACUUGAGUGCAGAAGAGGAGAGUGGAAUUCCAUGUGUAGCGGUGAAAAUGCGCAGAGAUAUGGAGGAACACCAGUGGCGAAGGCGGCUCUCUGGUCUGUAACUGACGCUGAUGUGCGAAAGCGUGGGGAUCAAACAGGAUUAGAUACCCUGGUAGUCCACGCCGUAAACGAUGAGUGCUAAGUGUUAGGGGGUUUCCGCCCCUUAGUGCUGCAGCUAACGCAUUAAGCACUCCGCCUGGGGAGUACGACCGCAAGGUUGAAACUCAAAGGAAUUGACGGGGACCCGCACAAGCGGUGGAGCAUGUGGUUUAAUUCGAAGCAACGCGAAGAACCUUACCAAAUCUUGACAUCCUUUGACCGCUCUAGAGAUAGAGUCUUCCCCUUCGGGGGACAAAGUGACAGGUGGUGCAUGGUUGUCGUCAGCUCGUGUCGUGAGAUGUUGGGUUAAGUCCCGCAACGAGCGCAACCCUUAAGCUUAGUUGCCAUCAUUAAGUUGGGCACUCUAGGUUGACUGCCGGUGACAAACCGGAGGAAGGUGGGGAUGACGUCAAAUCAUCAUGCCCCUUAUGAUUUGGGCUACACACGUGCUACAAUGGAUAAUACAAAGGGCAGCGAAUCCGCGAGGCCAAGCAAAUCCCAUAAAAUUAUUCUCAGUUCGGAUUGUAGUCUGCAACUCGACUACAUGAAGCUGGAAUCGCUAGUAAUCGUAGAUCAGCAUGCUACGGUGAAUACGUUCCCGGGUCUUGUACACACCGCCCGUCACACCACGAGAGUUUGUAACACCCGGAAGCCGGUGGGAGUAACCUUAUAGGAGCUAGC
rnacentral:rRNA from 1 species